rnacentral:lncRNA from 1 species
GACAUAUACGAAUUGAAGUUUGAUGUUUUCUCUGCAGCGUGAUUUGUCAAAUUAAUAAAAUUCUACAUAGCAUGGAGCCUAUCAUUUUUGGUUUGGUGAUAUCUAUUAAAUUUUUUUUUUUUUUUAAAAAUUUCUUCAUCCACUCUGAGAGUAUAUAUAUGUUGAUUUGUUAUUUACUCUUUGGUGUUUCAGGAGAAGUAGUCAGUGAACAUAUGAUUUCUUCAGGUUCUAUAUCUUUCUCUUCUGUGAUUUUCAUGUGUUGCGUUCAUAUUCUUUUCUUGUUGAUUAUUUCGUUCUCUUAAUUCUGGAGUUCUCAUGUGAAUUUUCUGUUAUAAGGCGUUUCUAAUUGAGUAUAAGAAAAUGGUAAUGUUUUGCGAAACUUGAUACAUGACUGUUUUCUCUCGUGGAGUUUGUUUUGAAGCUAUAACUUGCUAUGUAGUAUCAAGCAAUCAGGUUCAUUUUGGCACAAUCUUCUUGAUUGUGAAUCAUUUUACUCCUUUACACCUUCGGUUUUCUUACAUUUAGUUUUUUGAUAAUGUAAUUGACAAUAAUUAUCCACGAUUCUGGACAUAUGAUGUUCACACUGUUAUCACAUUUCUGUUGACUCUUAUUUUACGGCAAAUUUGUUUUAAUGAAUCAUCAUCUCUACAUUCUGUGUUGUAUAUUAUCUACUGGUGCUAGGCUAUAAUUUGGUCAUCUCUACUAAGGCUCUUUACAUUUCAGUCUUUGUUUGAUAAUAAUCAGUAUCUACUUUUGUCAAUUUCUUUGAGUUUUUUGUGUGGGUUUGAGUGUUUGACACGGGAUAUUUGUGGCAGGCAGAGAGCUGAACUAUGGUUAUUAUUGGAGAAUGCAUUCAGAUUAUCCACAUUUUUUCAACGAGUCAUUCUUCAUUUUAAAUUUUGUGCUUCGAUUACAUGACCUAUUACAAUGAGUCAUUCUUUAUUUUAAAUUUUGUGCUUCGAGUACAUGACAUAUAAAUUGAACUUGAGCUUGCUUUUUUUUGACCAAUGAAUAUGCUUUUUCUGCAGCUUGGUUUGUCAAAAUAAUAUCUUCUGUCAACACAUGGAGACUCAAGUUUUGAUUUGCUGUUGCCUAGUAAAUUCUUUUUGUUUAUUGAUUUUUUUUUGACAAGCAAUCUUUAUUAAUUUUGAGAGCAUAUAUUUCUUGAUUUAUGAUCUACUCUUCGGUGCUGUCAGUGUUUGCGGUUCUACUUUCCUUGAUCUGCUUCAAUAAUCUAGAUAGCUAGGGAUUUAUAUAGUAACACGAGUUUCUCAGAUCUGUUGUCACACUUCGANNNNNNNNNNNNNNNNNNNNAUCAUUUGAUAGUCGAGAGAUCCUUUAUCCUUUUUGCAUCGAGGGAUCCUUUCCUCUUUCCAGCUAGCUGAGAGAUCCUGAUACAAUGGACAAAAUGGAGAAUGGCUCCACAUAGAUAUAUCAAAUUUCUUAAAUCAGUCGUUUUAUUUAUUUGAAUUUUUGGGAUUUUAUUGCAAGACAUACAUAUUGAAUUUUGAACAUAUUGUUUUUCUGCAGUGAGGUUUGUCAAACUAAUUACUCUCUUCAUAGCAUGGAGCAUAGCAUUUUGAUUUGGUGAUAUCUAUUAAAUUUUUUUCAUUUUCAAACUUUCAAGUAAUUUGUGAACACACAAUUUCUUGAUUUCUUAUGGUUAUAUUUAUCUCCCUCUUACUAAUGCUGAAUUGAAACAUGUACCCGUUUUCUGCAGUGUGUGUCUUGGAACAACAAAGUUCUGUUAGUAUCAAGCAUACAGGUUUAUUUUGUAGAACUUCAUUUUUAUUUCAGUUAUUCUGUGUUUUAGUGUCCAGUUUUUUUUUUCGUUCCAUGGUUGUUACAUGUGAUAGAUAUUGAUGUGAGAGUAGGGUUGCUGGUUUUAGCUGAAUAGUUCAGCUCAAUACUGUUUUCUUACAUUAAUUAUUUCUGUAUGACAUGUACUCUUUCUGAAUUUACACGAUGCUGAUCAGAGGCUUGGUUUGGAGAAUUAUGCUAAUCUUUUCUCAUUUUUCUUCGUUUUUUCUACAACUAUUUGCCACACUACCCCAUCAUUCUACUGUUUUCUAAUAUUUAUGUUUUUGACAUAUAAUUUGACAAGUUUACUCAAUUCUGAAGAAAGUGCGACAGCUUUGUGGGGUUUUCUUGUAGCCAUGAUCUAAACGUCUUGAUAAACUGGACAAGAGUAGAGAAUGGUUCCAGAUAGAUUAAUAAAGUUCCUUCAAUGAAUCGUUCUUAUUUCUUUUAAUUUCUGGGAUUCGAUUGCAAGACAUAAAUUGAAUUUUGUACAUGUUUAUCUGCAGUGUGAAAAAUUGAGACAACUUUGUGGGGUUCUCUUUGUAACUAUGAUUUCAGAGAUCAGCGGCUUGGUUUGAAGAAAUCUUUUUGUUGUUUUUUUUUUCCUACAACUAUUUGCUGCGGCGUAUUAUUUCUGCACAUGUAUCUUCUGUGGUGUUCGCAGGGUCUGUGGUAUACAUGGGUUUGGUGUGCAACAGAGGCCUCCUUUCUCAAUCACACUACACCUUGUUAAUUUUUCUGUCUAAAGUGGAGACAUUACUUUGUUCGGGGAGGUUUACACUAUAAUUGUCUUUCACUGUAUUGUUGUCUUGACUCUUGAUUAUUUUUCAUUCCCGAUGAUACUUCUCAAAAGAUAUACUCUUCGUUACAGUGGCCCAGGGACUUCUCUGUAUUAGGAGGAAGCUGAAAUUGUCUCUUCAUAUGGGUACACAACGAUCUUGCAAAUUUGAUGAAAUUUGUUUCAAUGAAUCAUCAUAUUCUGCCAGCUGUCGUAUACUCACUGGCAUUCCAAGGCUAUAAUUUGGUCAUUUCUAUUUGAGAAUCUGUUACAUUCAGUCUUUGUUGGAGAAUAAUAAAUUAAUAAUCAACAUCUACUUUUCUCAGCUCCUUUAAGUUUUUUGUGUGGUUGUUACAGGGGAGAUGGCCUNNNNNNNNNNNNNNNNNNNNNNNNNNNNNNNNNNNNNNNNNNNNNNNNNNNNNNNNNNNNNNNNNNNNNNNNNNNNNNNNNNNNNNNNNNNNNNNNNNNNNNNAGGGGAGAUGGCCUAUAAAUGUGUGGCAGGUAGAGAGUACCCAGCAAUGAAAUAAAACUGGUCAUCCCUCUUACUUUCUGUUCAUCCCUGGGAUAAAACUGGUCAUGCCUCUUAACUUUUCCGUUCAGCCUUGAAUAAAUAAAACUGGUCAUUUUAUACUUACAUGUGUUUUGUGUUGGGAUUUGGGAUAAUGGUCCUAUAAAGGUGUUCCCUGCUAGUUUUGCAUCAGGAAUGUGAGUAUGAAGCUAUGUUGCCAAGGUACGGGUACGGUACCCGAUACAGGUGCGGGUACUGGUACGGGAUACAACAUUUUGAAAAGAUUUAAGAUACGGGUACGUUAAUACAAAAUAUCAAAAUAAUUAUAUUUUGAGUGAAUUUGUCCACCACCUCAACUAUUUUCAUCAAAAGCAAGAUAAAUAAUUAAUAUGUAAUAAAAAAUUAAAACAUUUUAUGCUAUUUUUAAACCAUCUGCACAUUUUUGCCGUAUCCACCACCCCGAAUCAAUCAAAUAACAAUGGAUUUUGAUUUGUAAGUACCCAGCGAGUACCAUGCAAGUAUCCGGUACUGGUGCGUACCCGGUACGGGUACUUCACCAUUUUAGGAGUACCCAUACUAUGAAGAUUCGGUAUUUUACCAUUUUAGGAGUAUCCAUACCGGUACAGGUACUUCACCAUUUUAGGAGUACCCAUACUAUGCAAGUAUCCGGUAUGAUACAAGAUUCUGAGCCUUUUGAAUUUAACGGGUAUUGUUUCUUCCUUGAAUGUAGAUGUCCAUCUCUUUCUUAGAUAAUCAAGAUAUACACGUUUGUUUUGCAGUAAGCUGAGGCUUAGACAUCUAGAAUGUUGGGAUGCUUCAUAGAAUGGAUAAGAAAGGAGGGUCAAGUUAAAUCCAAUUACUUCAACAUGGUGUUUUUCAGUUUUGGGCUUUGUGAUCAAGACAUUCACAAAUUGAAUUGCGAAUCUUUUUCUUUUCAGUAUAUCAAUUAUGAGUUCAUAUAUAUUUAAGUAGUUAUUUUCCUCUUUGGUGUUGCAGGAGAGGUAAUCUACAAACACGCAAUCCCUUAUGGUUCUGUCUUCCUCUUUUUGAUCUUCAAGUUUUGUAUUCUCACUUUUGUAUUGUCACUUUUUUCAAAAAAUAAAAGUUGUGUAUUCUCACUUUUGUAUUCUCACUUUUUUCAGAAUUUCUUGAAUGAACAUUCUUUUUAAAUUUUUAUUUCUUGGCUUUGAUGCAUAAUAAGUGAAUUGAACAAAUUUUUAUGAGAGCAAAUUUUUUUUUUAUUUGCUAUUCAGUGCUGUAGAAAUUUUAUGAUUCUAAAGGUUUUGUUUGUUCUGGUUUCCUCUGUGAUGACAUAAUUUAAUGGUUUGUUGCUCGGGAUCUAUGUUGACAUCCUUCUCUCAGAUCUGUUAUCACAUUUCUCUUGACUCUUAUUUUACGGAUAUCUUUCCAUUAAUUCUUCAUUUGGUAAUCCAGAUAUCCUUUAUCCUUUUUUGCAGCGAGCUGAAAGUCUUUAUAUUUGAACUUCUUAAUACAAUGGACAAAAACUGAGAAUGGCUCCAGAUAGAUAAAUCAAAUUUCUUCCAAUGCGUUGUUCUUAUUGAUUUUAAUAUCUGGGAUUUGAUUUCAAAUAUAAAUUGAAUUUUGAACCUUUUUUCUUUCUUUUUUUUUCUUUUUCUGCAGAGUGAUUUGUCAAACUAAUAAAAUUCUUCGUAGCAUGGAGCCAGCUUUUUAUUUUGGUGAUGUUGAUUAAAUUUUGAUUUCAAACUUUCAAUUCAGAGAGCAUAUAUUUUGUGUACAUAGAUUUCUUGGUUUCUUCUGGUUCUAUUUAUCUUCUCUUGUUUGAUCUUCGUGAGUUUUUUUUAUUCUUUUGUUUCUUAUUUCGUCUUUUGAUUCUAAUGUUUGAUAUGUUUAUGGUUGUUUUCAAUGAUAAAGUUGUUGUUCAUAUUUUAAUUGUCUGAAUAUUGAGCAUACUGGAGUUCUCAUGUGAGUUUUUAAGUUUCCAAUGUUUUCUCAUAAAAUGAUAAUAAUUUGUGGAUUGGUACAUAUUAUCAUCCCGGGUUGAAUUUGAAUUCAAACAGGUAUCUGUUUUUUGCAGUGUGUCUUGGAACAGUAAUGUUGUGUGGUAUCAAGUAUACAGGUUUAUUUUGGCACACUCUUCAUUUCAUGGUGAACUGAUCAAAUCAUAUAGACUCUGAAUCAUUUUCAUUCAUUCUAUAUUUUAGUGUCCAGUCUUCUUGAUCUACUCUUUUAUGAUCUUUAAUUGAGAUUAGUUUAUUUGAUAUGCGAGGAGGGUUGGUGGUUAUAUCUGAAAGGUUUAUCCUUAGGUUUUAUUGCCCUAUCACAUGACUGUUUUCUUACAUUGAAGAUUUUGACAUGAAAUUUGACAGUGUAAAUUUUUUCACAAUUUUUAAAAAAUUGGAACAGCUUUGUGGGGCUCUCUCUCUGUAACUGCGAUCUGCAGAUUAAUGGUUUGGUUUGGAGAAUUAUGCUAAUCUUUUUCGUUAUAUUUUCUACAAUGUGUCACUACCCCAUCAUACUAUUGUUUUCUUACAUUUUGGUUUAUGACAUGUAAUCUGACAGCCAAAGUUAACACAAUUGGGACAGCAUUGUGGGGUUCUUUUCUGUAACUAUGAUCUUUUUAUUAGUGGCUUGGUUUGGAGAAAUAUUUCUUUUUUUUCUUGAUAUUUCUACAAUUAUUUGUCGCUACGUGAUUUUUCUACACAUGUAUCAUCUGGUGUUCACAGGGUAUGUGUUACUAGGGUUUGUUGUGCAACUAAUCUCCUAUCUCAAUAACACUGCACCAGGUUAAUUUUGGUCUAUGAAGUGGAGAAAUAGGAGAUAAGUGCCUCUUCCCUUUGUACUACUAAUCUACUCUCAACCAAUUUACAUGUAUCAACCAGUUAUGUUGCGAAGCUUAAAGGAUAUCCUCUUCAUAACCGUGGCCCAAGGACUCCUCUGCUGGCUGUGUUGUAUACUAUCUACUGGUGCUAGGCUAUAAUUUGGUCAUCUCUACUGAGGCUCUUUACAAUUCAGUCUUUGUUUGAUAAUAAUCAGUAUCUACUUUCGUCAAUUUCUUUGAGUUUUCUGUGUGGGUUUGACAUGGGAUAUUUGUGGCAGGCAAAGAGCUGAACUAUGGUUAUUAUCAGAGAGAUGAAGAUUGGUUAUUAUUGGAGAAUGCGUUCAGAUAAUCCACAUUUUUUCAAUGAGUCAUUCUUUAUUUUAAAUUUUGUGCUUUGAGCACAUGAUAUAUUUCAAUGAGUCAUUCUUUAUUUUAAAUUUUGUGCUUUUUCUGCAGCUUGGUUUGUGAAAAUAAUGUCUUCUGUCAACACAUGGAGCCUCAAGUUUUGAUUUGCUGUUGCCCAGUAAAUUCGUUUUGUUUCAAUCUUUAUUGAUUUUUUUUUACAAGCAAUCUUUAUUGAUUUUGAAAGCAUAUAUUUCUUGAUUUAUGAUUUACUCUUCGGUGCUGUUGGAAUUUUAUCCUCCUAAAGGUUUCUUUUGGUUUGCUCCGUGAUGUCAGUGUUUGCGGUUCUACUUUCUUUGAUCUGCUUCAAUAAUCUAGAUUGCUAGGGAUUGACAUAGUAACAUGAGUUUUUCCAGAUCUGUUGUCACACUUCGAAUGACUCUUACUUUACGAAUAGAUAAUCAAAUUACUUCUACAUGUUCUUUUCAGUUGGAGGGUCAAGAUAAAUCCAAUUACUUCAACAUGGUGUUCUUUUCAGUUUUGGGCUUUGUGAUUAAAACAUAUACAAAUUGAUUUGCAAAUCUUUUUUCCUUCAGUAUAUCGAUUCUGAGUUCAUAUAUAUUUUGGAGUAGUUAUUUUCCUCUUUGGUGUUGCAGGAGAGGUUAUCUACGAACACGCAAUCCCUUAUGAAUUGCUGUUUUCAAAUUACUGCUACAUGUUCUUUUCAGUUGGAGGGUCAAGAUAAAU